UUUCUCUACUCUUGUGUAGAUGGCCUAUUUGACUCCUCUUUCAAACCAUCUCUCCUCCCUGUCCAAAAUAUGUACAUUGUUGUCACAGAGAGAGAGCCCCUGGUCCUUCAAGUUUUACAGGUCUUUGCAUUCAUCACUGCAUUGGACAGCAUGUGGACUAGAUGUGUCUGGUGUUGGUGUUCUUCCUGGAUCGUGUGGCUGUUUUCACAAAGGUCCAGUUUGGAAGGUCCAUCAACUUGGUUACCUACACUGCCAAACAUACGGUAUAUUUUCUGUCCAAACCCCCUUGGUAGGCAACACGCCUCACCAAAUCCCAAACUCCAUAGACUUUGUGAACGAAGACCCACAUGAAACCAUGGUAUCCAAUAAUGUCAACUUCUUGUUCACAUGUAUCCCCACCAUGGAGGAUACAUGACUGCUACAAGACAACACCAUGAACAACAUCCAAUAAUAUUAAUGUCUUACUUUAUUGUCACAUACACAUACAUGUUGCGAAAUUCAUCCUCUGCAUUUAACCCAUCCCUCAAGGGAGCCGCAGUGCCCGGGGACCAACUCCAGAACUGGUCAAUAACACUGAC